rnacentral:tRNA from 1 species
GCCUUGCUGGCUCAGUAGGUAGAGCACGUGACUCCUGAUCUUGGGAUAGUGAGUUCAACCCCCACAUUGGGUG